rnacentral:lncRNA from 1 species
AAAUUUCUCUUUGACUUGAGUGUAAAGAUGGGUAGAUUAUUGGUAUGAUCGUGACUAUGGGUUCUCUUUGGCCAGUAGUGCAAAGUUGAAUCGUUGAAUGGUAUGAUCAUGACCAUUGAAUUUACAAUUGAAUAUUUUUAGCUUAAGUGCAAAGGUGAAUUGAUCAACAUAAUUAUAAUUAUGGUUUAUAUAAAUUCUUAAAUGAUU